rnacentral:rRNA from 1 species
GGGUUGUGAGGUUAAGCGACUAAGCGUACACGGUGGAUGCCUGGCAGUCAGAGGCGAUGAAGGACGUGCUAAUCUGCGAAAAGCGUCGGUAAGGUGAUAUGAACCGUUACAGCCGGCGAUGUCCGAAUGGGGAAACCC